CUACUGACAUCAAGAGGUGUCGGGAUGGGAUGACAGAAGUCAGCCGACGCCGUAGUAGUGCGAUAAAACCAGUCACAUAAAGGGC
rfam:Xenorhabdus nematophila ATCC 19061 chromosome, complete genome